AUGAGGAGGAAGAGGCGAGCGUCUUCAGGAAGACCAGGCAUCCUUCCUCCAAGACGUCUCAGUACGAAAACACUCUGCGAUUGUCAGCGCCCAGAACGAGGAGCCGCGGCCCUCAGGAGCCGGGGUCCCUUCACACACCUCUGUGUGAGAACAACUGUCCCAUUUGGCACGUUGAUCCCCGAGUGAGAAACGUCAUCAUCACCGCUCGAUUGCUGCAGCUCUCACAGCCCAAACAGACCCAUCCUGACUACUGCAGCAACAGGGAGAGUGCUGCUUCCAUCGUCUCCUUAGCGUCCAGAACAGCUCGGAUAUCUCAGCGACUCGCCCAGUUGUCGCUGCCCAAACUGAAGCAGAGCAACAUCUGCUACCAACUGGGGCGCUUCGAGGAACCAAUCUGGAUUGUCUCAAGAGCAGCAAAAAAGGGUUCAGCAAGUGUUCGAGUUGAGACGCUGGCAGCACCAAAGCAGCUUCAUAAAGACUACAUUCCUCCACAAGAGCCAGAGUGGAGCCUGAGAGAUGCUAAGACCAAUAAGCUUCUGUGGAAAUACUAAGAAAAUUCUCUAUUUCUGAAAAUUGUUCCCAAAUUGUUUGUUUCUUCAGAGUUUUGCCUUUAUUUCUGAUUAUAUAUAUAGCACUGUGAAAGUGUUUACCUGAUGACAGCCAUCUUCUGUUCUUUCUGCUUUUUUGUCACACUUAAAUGCUUCACAUCAUCAAACAAAUUACUAGUAUUGGAUAAAGUUAAAUACAAGUAAAUACAAAAAUGUGAAAAAGUAAUGCCCCUUUUUUAAAGUCCUAAAUUAAGAGGACUUAUAAUGCAAAAUUCACAUUUUUCAUGUUUUAUACUUGGAUUUGGAUCUCUGCUGCUUCUAAAAACAACCGAAGCACUUAAAAAAAUAAAACAUCCACCAAUUUUUUUGGCAAUAAGUUAAUAUUUUUUGGUAACUGGAAACUGAGCCAUUUCCAAAACCUCCCAACUGUUCAGUCACAUUCAACAAACACUGCACCGUUACCUAGCAACCCCAGAAAAUUCCAGCAUGUUACCUAGCAACCCAAGCUGAGUUCUACCCCAUUUGUUCAGCUGGUUUUCAAAAUUCAAAUUCCAAACUACUUUAUUUAUCCCAAAGGGAAAUUAAAUAUCACUGAAUGAGGUGUACAAUGGCUGCUGGAAAAGACAAGUAUUUUAUUGUUAAUGUACCAUUCAGAAAUCAUAGUUUGUACAGUUAAAAUGUCACCUGUAAAUUGUAUCAGAGUUUUAGAGUUUUACAAUAAUCCCCACACAAUAAAUCUCAUGCAUCCAUUUCUGGGAAUGAAACUUUGAAUUGCUGUAAUUUCAUGAUUGAAAAAUAUUGCCGUUUUAAAUUUCUGAGCUUCUAGCAGAGAAAUCAAACCCCUCAGAAAUAAAACAUGUCUCUCACUGCAAGCUGGAAGCAGGGAUCCACGUGGU